rnacentral:piRNA from 1 species
UGACAGGCAAGCUCUGAUUCUCUUAUGCAGU